rnacentral:rRNA from 1 species
AACGAACGCUGGCGGCAGGCCUAACACAUGCAAGUCGAGCGAAGCCUUCGGGCUUAGCGGCGGACGGGUGAGUAACGCGUGGGAACGUGCCCUUUGGUACGGAAUAGCCCCGGGAAACUGGGAGUAAUACCGUAUGUGGUCGAGAGACGAAAGAUUUAUCGCCAAAGGAUCGGCCCGCGUUGGAUUAGGUAGUUGGUGGGGUAAUGGCCUACCAAGCCGACGAUCCAUAGCUGGUUUGAGAGGAUGAUCAGCCACACUGGGACUGAGACACGGCCCAGACUCCUGCGGGAGGCAGCAGGGGGGAAUCUUAGACAAUGGGGGAAACCCUGAUCUAGCCAUGUCGCGUGAUCGAUGAAGGCCUUAGGGUUGUAAAGAUCUUUCAGUGGGGAAGAUAAUGACUGUACCCACAGAAGAAGCCCCGGCUAACUCCGUGCCAGCCGCCGCCGUAA